UACGGGGGGGGCAAGCGUUGUUCGGAAUUACUGGGCGUAAAGGGCUCGUAGGCGGCCAACUAAGUCAGACGUGAAAUCCCUCGGCUUAACCGGGGAACUGCGUCUGAUACUGGAUGGCUGGAGGUUGGGAGAGGGAUGCGGAAUUCCAGGUGUAGCGGUGAAAUGCGUAGAUAUCGGGAGGAACACCAGUGGCGAAGGCGACUUCCUGGCCUGUUCUUGACGCUGAGGCGCGAAAGCUAGGGGAGCAAACGGG
rnacentral:rRNA from 1 species